AUCGAACGCUGGCGGCAGGCCUAACACAUGCAAGUCGAACGAGUGGCGGACGGGUGAGGAAUGUCUGGGAAACUGCCUGAUGGAGGGGGAUAACUACUGGAAACGGUAGCUAAUCCCGCAUAGCAUCCGAUGGGCCCAGAGGGGAUUAGCUAGUUGGUGGGGUCACGGCUCACCAAGGCGACGAUCCCUAGCUGGUCUGAGAGGAUGACCAGCCACACGGUAACUGAGACACGGUCAAGACUCCUACGGGAGGCAGCAGUGGGGAAUAUUGCACAAUGGGCGCAAGCCUGAUGCAGCCAUGCCGCGUGUAUGAAUAAGGCCUUCGGGUUGUAAAGUACUUUCAGCGGGGAGGCGUUACCUGCAGAAGAAGCACCGGCUAACUCCGUGCCAGCCGCCGCGGUAAUAC
rnacentral:rRNA from 1 species